rnacentral:rRNA from 1 species
UGCCAGCAGCCGCGGUAAUACAGAGGGUGCAAACGUUGUUCGGAAUCACUGGGCGUAAAGCGCGUGUAGGCGGCCAGGCAAGUCGGGUGUGAAAGCCCACGGCUCAACCGUGGAAGUGCACCCGAAACUGCUUGGCUAGAGUCCCGGAGAGGAAGGUGGAAUGCUUGGUGUAGAGGUGAAAUUCGUAGAUAUCAAGCAGAACACCGGUGGCGAAGGCGGCCUUCUGGACGGUGACUGACGCUGAGACGCGAAAGCGUGGGGAGCAAACAGGAUUAGAUA